UUUCCCGUAGGUGAACCUGCCGAGGGAUCAUUACAAGUGACCCCGGUUUACCACCGGGAUGUUCAUAACCCUUUGUUGUCCGACUCUGUUGCCUCCGGGGCGACCCUGCCUUCGGGCGGGGGCUCCGGGUGGACACUUCAAACUCUUGCGUAACUUUGCAGUCUGAGUAAACUUAAUUAAUAAAUUAAAACUUUUAACAACGGAUCUCUUGGUUCUGGCAUCGAUGAAGAACGCAGCGAAAUGCGAUAAGUAAUGUGAAUUGCAGAAUUCAGUGAAUCAUCGAAUCUUUGAACGCACAUUGCGCCCCCUGGUAUUCCGGGGGGCAUGCCUGUUCGAGCGUCAUUUCACCACUCAAGCCUCGCUUGGUAUUGGGCAACGCGGUCCGCCGCGUGCCUCAAAUCGACCGGCUGGGUCUUCUGUCCCCUAAGCGUUGUGGAAACUAUUCGCUAAAGGGUGCUCGGGAGGCUACGCCGUAAAACAACCCCAUUUCUAAGGUUGACCUGGGAACA
rnacentral:rRNA from 1 species